rnacentral:rRNA from 1 species
CACCUCUAGCAUUUCUAGUAUUAGAGGCACUGCCUGCCCAGUGACAUUAGUUUAAAGGCCGCGGUAUCCUGACCGUGCAAAGGUAGCAUAAUCAUUUGUUCCUUAAUUAGGGACUUGUAUGAAUGGCCUCACGAGGGUUUAACUGUCUCUUACUUUCAAUCAGUGAAAUUGACCUCCCCGUGAAGAGGCGGGGAUACAAAAAUAAGACGAGAAGACCCUAUGGAGCUUAAAUUAACAUGUUCAACAAAAUUUUAAUUUAACCCAACAGGAAUAACUAUAAUUUAACUGAACAAUAAAUUUUGGUUGGGGCGACCUCGGAGAAUAACAAAACCUCCGAGUGAUUUUAACCAAGACUUACCCGUCAAGGUUACAUAACUUAUUGAUCCAAUCAUAUUGAUCAACGAAACAAGUUACCCUAGGGAUAACAGCGCAAUCCUAUUUGAGAGUUCAUAUCGACAAUAGGGUUUACGACCUCGAUGUUGGAUCAGGACACCCAAAUGGUGCAGCAGCUAUUAAAGGUUCUUUUGUUCAACG